rnacentral:rRNA from 2 species
AGCGUGGUAGAUGUGGCUCAAUGAUUGGUGCUUGCAUCAUGAUUUACAUUUGAGUGAGUGGCGAACUGGUGAGUAACACGUGGGAAACCUGCCCAGAAGCGGGGGAUAACACCUGGAAACAGAUGCUAAUACCGCAUAACAACUUGGACCGCAUGGUCCGAGUUUGAAAGAUGGCUUCGGCUAUCACUUUUGGAUGGUCCCGCGGCGUAUUAGCUAGAUGGUGAGGUAACUGAUCACCAUGGCAAUGAUACGUAGCCGACCUGAGAGGGUAAUCGGCCACAUUGGGACUGAGACACGGCCCAAACUCCUACGGGAGGCAGCAGUAGGGAAUCUUCCACAAUGGACGAAAGUCUGAUGGAGCAACGCCGCGUGAGUGAAGAAGGGUUUCGGCUCGUAAAACUCUGUUGUUAAAGAAGAACAUAUCUGAGAGUAACUGUUCAGGUAUUGACGGUAUUUAACCAGAAAGCCACGGCUAACUACGUGCCAGCAGCCGCGGUAAUACGUAGGUGGCAAGCGUUGUCCGGGAUUUAUUGGGCGUAAAGGCGAGCGCAGGCGGUUUUUUAAGUCUGAUGUGAAAGCCUUCGGCUCAACCGAAGAAGUGCAUCGGAAACUGGGAAACUUGAGUGCACAAGAGGACAGUGGAACUCCAUGUGUAGCGGUGAAAUGCGUAGAUAUAUGGAAGAACACCAGUGGCGAAGGCGGCUGGUCUGGUCUGUAACUGACCUGAGGCUCGAAAGUAUGGGUAACAAACAGGAUAA